CAAUAGCGUAUAUUAACGUUGUUGCAGUUAAAAAGCUCGUAGUUGGAUUUCUGGAGGGAGCGUCGGCCCGUAUUUACGAGUGCGUGACGUCUCUGUCCAUCCUUGCGGGAAGGCACGGCAUUGAUUUGUUGUGUCGGAUCGCAUCAUUUACUGUGAAAAAAUUAGAGUGUUCAAAGCAGGCUUUCGCUUGAAUACAUUAGCAUGGAAUAAUAAGAUAGGACUUUGGUGCUAUUUUGUUGGUUGAGCCUAAAGUAAUGAGUAAUAGGGAUAGUUGGGGGCACCUGUAUUGCGUUGUCAGAGGUGAAAUUCUUGGAUUUACGCAAGACAAACAGCUGCGAAAGCGUCUGCCAAGGAUGUUUUCAUUAA
rnacentral:rRNA from 1 species